CGCCUGUUUAACAAAAACAUCUCUUUUUGAGCAUAAAUAAAAAGUUUAACCUGCCCACUGAUAAAAUUAAAUGGCCGCAGUAUAUUUACUGUGCAAAGGUAGCAUAAUCAUUAGUCUUUUAAUUGAAGGCUGGAAUGAAUGGUUGGACGAAAUAUUUACUGUUUCAUAUUAAUUUUUGAUAAAAUUUUAUUUUUUAGUAAAAAAGCUAAAAUAAUAUUAAAAGACGAGAAGACCCUAUAAAUCUUUAUAUUUUAAUUAAUUUUUAUAAAUUAGAAAUUAAAUUAUUUAAUUUAAUUUAAAUAUUUUAUUGGGGUGAUAUUAAAAUUUAAUUAACUUUUAAUUUUAUUGAACAUUAAUUUAUGAAUUAUUGAUCCAAUAAUAUUGAUUAUUAGAAUAAGUUACUUUAGGGAUAACAGCGUAAUUUUUUUGGAGAGUUCAUAUUGAUAAAAAAUAUUGCGACCUCGAUGUUGGAUUAAGAAAUAAAUUUAGGUGUAGAAGCUUAAAAAUUAAGUCUGUUCGACUUUUAAAUUCUUACGUGAUCUGAGUUCAGA
rnacentral:rRNA from 1 species